GAUAUUUGACAAUGGGCGAAAGCCCGAUCCAGCCAUUCCGCGUGUGUGAAGAAGGUCUUCGGAUUGUAAAGCACUUUAAGUUGGGAGAAAGGGUUGUAGGUUAAUACCUUGCUGGUUUGACGUUACCGCCAGAAUAAGCACCGGCUAACUCUGUUCCAGCAGCCGCGGUAAUACGAAGGGUGCAAGCGUUAAUCGGAAUUACUGGGCGUAAAGCGCGCGUAGGUGGUUUGUUAAGUUGGAAGUGAAAGCCCCGGGCUCAACCUGGGAACUGCUUUCAUAACUGCUGAGCUAGAGUACGGUAGAGGGUAGUGGAAUUUCCUGUGUAGCGGUGAAAUGCGUAGAUAUAGGAAGGAACACCAGUGGCGAAGGCGACCACCUGGGCUAAUACUGACACUGAGGUGCGAAAGCGUGGGGAGCAAACAGG
rnacentral:rRNA from 1 species